AGGUCCCUUUUUCUCUGCACAGCAUUAGCUCAAGGGUGAGGUGCUGGCAGGGGUGGGGUUCUUGGUUCUGUGCCCACCAAGGCUCUGUCUUCAAUGGCAGUUGGUGUGGGUUGGUGUGUGUGCUGCACUCCCGUGUGCUCUCAGGGCAAGUACAGCAAAACCCACAUGUGUAAACACACACAGCAAAGUGAUGUAGGAUGUUUCCAUAUAAAGGGCUGCAGUAUGGAGAGGUAAUGUGCUGGGGUCCUGGGAGAGGCAAGCAGACUAAGGAGUGCUGAGAUCAGACCAGCCC
rnacentral:lncRNA from 10 species